UUUCAGUAGCAAACGGGUGAGUAACGCGUGGAUGAUCUACCUAUGAGAUGGGGAUAACUAUUAGAAAUAGUAGCUAAUACCGAAUAAGGUCAGUUAAUUUGUUAAUUGAUGAAAGGAAGCCUUUAAAGCUUCGCUUGUAGAUGAGUCUGCGUCUUAUUAGCUAGUUGGUAGGGUAAAUGCCUACCAAGGCAAUGAUAAGUAACCGGCCUGAGAGGGUGAACGGUCACACUGGAACUGAGAUACGGCCCAGACUCCUACGGGAGGCAGCAGCUAAGAAUCUUCCGCAAUGGGCGAAAGCCUGACGGAGCGACACUGCGUGAAUGAAGAAGGUCGAAAGAUUGUAAAAUUCUUUUAUAAAUGAGGAAUAAGCUUUGUAGGAAAUGACAAAGUGAUGACGUUAAUUUAUGAAUAAGCCCCGGCUAAUUACGUGCCAGCAGCCGCGGUAAUACGUAAGGGGCGAGUGUUGUU
rnacentral:rRNA from 1 species